rfam:Camelus ferus unplaced genomic scaffold scaffold185, whole genome shotgun sequence.
UUGGCCCUGAAUCAAGGCCAGCAGCUUGCUGGAGCUGUUGGUUUCAAGCAGGAGCCUAAAGAAAAGUCUUUUUAUGGUCUGUUGGCCAUUUCAGAACUUUGGAAAUGUAAUGGUCAAUUCAUUAGAAAGAAACAUUU